CCUAGGUUGUGGCGGCAAUGGGGUAAACAUAUUAUUUAGUCUUUAGGUUCAGCUGUUGUGUUGUGUGAGCAUCAAGUGUCUGAGUUGCAGAGUGUAUGUCUGUGUUGUGUGUGAGGUGAUCCGAGUUUUCAGACUUGUUCUUUGAUUAGGUUAGAUUGCCUGUGUCUCUGGCCCUCGGUAAUAUUCCAGAGGUGUACAGAGCUGGUGUGGACCAUGGUCAGUUGCCAUAGGAGUGUUUUUUCCUUGCACUUUGGGUUUAUAGAGCUUUCUCCUAGAUGUCAGAAGUAUCAUGGAUCUUUCAUGACAAAAGUAAUAUGAAACAUAAAGAAAAGUAAUUUGGAACCGAAAAAAAG